GUGCUCAUUUCAGCAGCACAUGUACAAAGAGUGGAACCACGCAGAGAAGAUUAACAUGGCCCCUGCGAAGGAUGACGUGCAAAUUUGUAAAGUGUUCCAUAUUUUU
ensembl:snRNA U6 U6 spliceosomal RNA